rnacentral:rRNA from 1 species
UACGUAGGUGGCAAGCGUUGUCCGGAAUUACUGGGCGUAAAGCGUGCGCAGGCGGCGCCGCAAGUCAGGCGUGAAAUCCCCGGGCUCAACCCGGGAACUGCGUCCGAUACUGGAAGGCUUGAAUCCGGGAGAGGGAUGCGGAAUUCCAGGUGUAGCGGUGAAAUGCGUAGAUAUCAGGAGGAACACCAAUGGCGAAGGCAGCACUCUGGGACGUGACUGACGCUGAGACGCGAAAGCGUGGGGAGCAAACAGG